AAGUUGAAGUUACAGUUCGUUACUUGCUUGAAUUAUAUAAUGUGAAAGUUUACAUUUGGUGAUUAAUGAUAGGAUUCAAACUGUAACCAUUAACAUGAGGAGUGACAAGUUCAAAAAGCGUAAGUGAAAUUUCCAACCUUUUUCAUUACAGCUUUUUGUACUAGAUAGACUCUGAUAAUUAUAAAUUUAAAGCAAGCAAUUCAAGCAAGCAACGAACUGUAACUUCAACUUACUAACUGACGACUAAAGAAAAGCAGAGACCAAAAACACAAAUCUUAAAUGCAAGUAAGAAAAGAAGUAGGACUUGGUGGUACUGGGAUGUCAACUGUCCCUUCCAACAUCAAAAGAACCUUCUUCAUGGAAGGGCGGAUGGACGGUUCAUCCAGAGUGCACCAAAGCCCCACUUUGAUCAUUCUAUCCAUUAGUCUCUUGUCCACUUCCUCAUCACCAACCAAUUUAUCCAUUUCACCAGCCUCAAAACAAUGGUAAACCCAAUCCACAAGUAUGGAUUCAAUCUCUGGAAGAUUUUGAUCCACAUUCCUUCUACAACAUGCGAUCUCCAAUAACACAAUUCCGAAACUAUAAACAUCAGCUUUAACUGUAACAGGAAGCUUACG
rnacentral:misc_RNA from 1 species